GUACAAGAGAAAGGGAAUUUAAAGGGACCUUACCAGACAAAGUGCUACCUGUUCUCCAAGUGUACAACGUGCUCUUCUUACUGCAAAACUCAACAACCACAGGGUCUUAUUAAAUUUUUUCACCUCGGAAAUUACAUACUUGAUUGUUUUGACCCCACCUUUGAGAUACACUGGGAAUUACAAUGUUUAUCUUGAUUUACAAAAUGACUGUUGCUAUGCAGCUUGUUUUCCAAGAUGGUCCAGUAAGCUGUGAAAAGGGAGGUGUUCAUUAAGCGUACCCCUUCUUGUGGUUAGAAGUAAAGGAGUCAAAGAUGCCAGAACUGCAGAAGCAAACAUAUGCCCAUGUUACUCUUCAACGCUCUUCAGACUAUGACAUGAGUGGAAAAUCAACAGUGCUAUUUGGGAGAUGUCUCUACUGUAGCUACUGUUAUUUGACCUGACAUAGAAAUUAGUUCUUUGAGGUGGGAUGCUCCUGUAACAAAUCUUAAAAUUGAGGCAUUGGCUUAUGUGUCUGGAGUUGGUUGGAAAGGAAUGUGAUAUUGGAAGCCGUAAAUAUGGUGCUACAUGUUAUUCCCUAGCAUAAUGUUUGCAGUUAUGGUUGUCUAUGGUAUCUUUAGAGGCAAACUAAAAGUUGCUCAUUUUUUAAUUUACCAGGGUAUUUCGGUAGAUGUAUGUUCAGGAAAAACUUUAUGGUUGACAGGCCAGAAAUGAAAAGAAAAGUAAUACAGCCCAGAAAUUUAAAAGCUUGUUGAAUUAGGUAAGUCACCACUUUUAAGUCUUAAAGUGUAAGAAAUAAGAUUAGAAAUGGUUUUCAACUAGAAUUCCAAUUUCAGUUUACUGUUACAACAGAGAAAAGAGACAGAAGUUGUCAUCUUUCCACUUGUGUGUCAUGGAGCCUCAUGGUAGCUCUGUUACGUUAGGGGGAAAAACAGUAAUUUAAUCAGGCCAAAAAAUUACUUCUACAAAAGUACUUUACUGAGAUCCUUAGGACAUAGAAAUGAUUGGAGGACUAAAUUAUAUCAGGUGCCAAAUAAGUUUUUGAAGGAAUGGAGAACUAAGUCAACUAUGUGCCAAAAUGAAAAAGAAUGAUUUUCAAAAUUACUAACUACUUUCUUACCCACAUUUCCCCACUUGCCACCCUACCCAAAUCAGAUAUGGUCAGUACAGGUGACUCAUAGGGAAUAUCCACUCUGAGAUGAGUACAAGGCCCCAAGAUAAUAAUGGAUAAAUGAAGCUCUCUCAGCGAAUAGUAUCACAUCCUAAGAGAAUCAAGGAGGAGAAGGAACACAGAGAUGCUCAAACAUUGUUACUCUCUUGUAUGAUGGUUAUUCCUUCAUGCUUUCCCUCCGGGUUUAUUGAGGUAUAAUUGACAAAUUAAAUUGUACAUAUUUACGGUGUAUAAUGUGAUGACUUGACAUAUGUGUACUUUGUGCAGUGAUUACCACCUUGGUCACUUAGUACAUUAAUCACUUCAUAAGUAACAAUGUAAUGUGUGUAUGUCUGUGUGUGUGUGUGUGUGUGUGUUUGUGUGAGUGAUGGGAAUGCUUACGGUCUAAUUUCUCAGCAAGAUUCAAGUACACAACUGAGUGUUAUUAGCUAGAUCACCAUGCUGUACUGUAGACUCUGAGAACUCAUUCAUUGUAUGAUUGCAGGCUUGUACGCUUGACCCAACAUCUCCACUUUUGCCUGACCCCUCAGACCCUCUUGACCACGAUUCUACUCUGUGUCUGUGACAUCUGUGUGUUUGGAAACACAUUCGUAAAUAAACAAUGGUGCGAAGAAGAAAUAAGAAACAAAUAGAAAAUAACUUGUGUGAACGAAAAUGAAAAGAAAACAUAUAAGAUCUUUCCAGAUAAAUGUAAUGCAGCACAAAGUGCAACCUAUGCCUGGAGAUAUCUAUAUUACAAAAGAUGAUCUCAAAUCAGUAACCUGAUAGACAUAUAUGCAUGUGUGGGGGUUUAUGAAUUUUGAAAACUUGUAACACUAAAUACAGCAAAAUAUAAGCAGUGAUUAUUUUUGGCCGUUUAAUAGACAUGCUCAUUUUUUAACAGCUUUAUGUUUUCCCCAUAAUAUAUUAAAUGAUAUAGCUACA